rnacentral:lncRNA from 1 species
CCCCCUCAAGCUCUCAGCCUUCAUCUUCGGAUUGCCACUUUCUCCUUCACAGCUAAGGUCUGGAUUUGUGAUUCGUUGAGCUGACAAGGACAGGGAGCUGGGGCAGGUUUGGGAAAGGGAGACUGGAAUACUUUGACCCUCCAAAUGACAAACUGUGUCCUCUUUCUAUCACUUCUUAUCAACUCCACUCCCCACCCUAGACACACAUCAUUGAUCACGCUCUCAAGUUCGAAGGUGAAUUAGAACUGGAAGGAGGCUGGGAAUGGGGUAUCCCGUCACACCCUUUCUCUUGCUUCCUUUGGGAAUGAGGGGUCCUGGAGGAACAAUAGCUUUCCUUAGUCCCUUCUUCCUGCCUCAGGUUAGAAAAGACAGGAGGAGGAGAUGGGAAAGAGUGGAGACGACAAAGACCCCUUCCCUGACAGGCAUGAGAUGGGAGAAGGAGGGGCUUAAUCAGAGUGGGUUGUUAUCCUGAGGGGGGGGGUGUCUCCAGACAGGGGCAGCACCCCCUGUUUGCUGCCUUUCCAGGGAGGGCAGCACGAGAAAGAAAGAGGGAGGCAAGCGAAAUUCCUGAAUGGAUAGACAGAUGCUACGUCAUCGGAGCCGCAUCCUCCACUCCACAAGAGGCUAGGAGCCGGAGAAAGAGGCAGGCCAGCGGCAGGGGCCACCGAGCCAGCGCGCCUCCUCCCAGAAGCCGGAGCAGAGCAUCGGAGAAGAAGCAGCCUCAUUUGCUUCUGGUGUCAUCGUACAGCUUCCCACCACCCAGGAAGGAAGGAACUGGCCUGGAUUUUGGCAACCUCUUGCUUGUGGGAGGAAGGCCACGCCUUCUCAGGUGCAGGGGUGAAGUCUGA